GAUGAACGCUGGCGGCGUGCUUAACACAUGCCAGUCGAACGAAGCAUUUGCGACAGAUUUUUUCGGAAUGAAGUUGCUUAUGACUGAGUGGCGGACGGGUGAGUAACGCGUGGGUAACCUGCCUUGUACUGGGGGAUAGCAGCUGGAAACGGCUGGUAAUACCGCAUAAGCGCACAAUGUUGCAUGACAUGGUGUGAAAAACUCCGGUGGUAUAAGAUGGACCCGCGUCUGAUUAGCUAGUUGGUGAGAUAACAGCCCACCAAGGCGACGAUCAGUAGCCGACCUGAGAGGGUGACCGGCCACAUUGGGACUGAGACACGGCCCAGACUCCUACGGGAGGCAGCAGCGGGGAAUAUUGCACAAUGGAGGAAACUCUGAUGCAGCGACGCCGCGUGAGUGAAGAAGUAAUUCGUUAUGUAAAGCUCUAUCAGCAGGGAAGAUAGUGACGGUACCUGACUAAGAAGCUCCGGCUAAAUACGUG
rnacentral:rRNA from 1 species